rnacentral:rRNA from 1 species
UGGGGGAUAUUGCACAAUGGGCGAAAGCCUGAUGCAGCGACGCCGCGUGGGGGAUGAAGGCUUUCGGGUUGUAAACCUCUUUCGCUAUCGAACAAGGCCCGCUUAGGGUGGGUUGAGGGUAGGUGGAGAAGAAGCGCCGGCUAACUACGUGCCAGCAGCCGCGGUAAUACGUAGGGCGCGAGCGUUGUCCGGAAUUAUUGGGCGUAAAGGGCUUGUAGGCGGCUUGUUGCGCCUGCUGUGAAAACGCGGGGCGUAACUUCGCGCGUGCAGGGGGUACGGGCAGGCGUGAGUGUGGUAGGGGUGACUGGAAUUCCAGGUGUAGCGGUGGGAUGCGCAGAUAUCUGGAGGACCACCGAUGGCGAAGGCAGGUCACUGGGCCAUUACUGACGCUGAGGAGCGAAAGCAUGGGUAGCGAACAGG